GGCUGGUCCAAAGGUGAUGCGUUAUCUCAAUUGAUUGUUCACAAUCAGUUACAAACUCCUGUUCUACUCUUUCCUCCCUUCUCACUACUGUACUUGACUAGUCUUAA
rnacentral:Y_RNA from 1 species